rnacentral:rRNA from 1 species
GACGAACGCUGGCGGCGUGCUUAACACAUGCAAGUCGAACGACGUGGCGCACGGGUGAGUAAUACGUGGGUAACCUGCCCUCCUUUUUGGGAUAAGCCUUGGAAACGGGGUCUAAUACCGAAUAUAGGGGGAUGGGCUCGCGGCCUAUCAGCUUGUUGGUGGGGUGAUGGCCGACCAAGGCGGUGACGGGUAGCAGGCCGGAGAGGGGGACCGGCAAUAAGGGGAGUGAGAGACGGCCAAGACAGCUACGAGAGGAAGAAGUGGGGGAUAGUGCACAAGGGGGGAAAGCCUGAGGCAGGGAUGCGGCGUGGGGGAUGAAGGCUUUAGGGUUGUAAACCGCGGUCGCUAUCGAAGGGGUAGGUGGAGAAGAAGCGCCGGCUAACUACGUGCCAGCAGCCGCGGUAAUUC